UACGUAGGUGGCAAGCGAUACUCGGAAUCACUAGGCGUAAAGCGCAGGUAGGCGGUUUGGUAAGUCUUUUGUGAAAGCUCCCGGCUCAACUGGGAGAGGUCAAGGGAAACUACCGGACUAGAGUGUGGUAGGGGAUACUGGAAUUCCUGGUGUAGCGGUGAAAUGCGUAGAUAUCAGGAGGAAUACCUAUGGCGAAAGCAGGUAUCUGGGCCAUCACUGACGCUGAGCUGCGAAAGCUAGGGGAGCGAACGGG
rnacentral:rRNA from 1 species